UGUUUACUAAUUAAAAUUCAUUUACUUUCGAAUUGAAACUUGUUUUGAAGUUUACAUUACUAUGAACUUUGAUUCCAAUAAAUUCAUGACAAAUUUUGGGUUGGGUUAAUUACUUCACCAUUCUUUUUUGUACUCUGUAGAAAGAAACAUCAUGAAUUUUUAUUAACACUUGUUCUUCUCUAUCUCUCCAUUUGUUUCCAAUAAUUAAGCUGUCGAUUUCCUCUCUCUUCUCUCUAAUUUCUUGGGUCUGAAUUUUAUGAUUUCCACCGUUAAUAGAUUUCAAGAGCUAUGCAAGUUUGCAGCGUAACGGAUUCCUGAUCCCGAAGGGACUGUGAGUUAUCACCCGAGGAACCAAUACUUCUAUAAAAGGCAUUUUAGAUAUACAAUGUGAAAAUCAUAAUUUGGAAAGGAUGAGACAACUUGACAAAGUGGGGGAGUAUUAGUUGCUGCUGAAGUCACUUGGUCUGUACAAUUGUUGUGAUUGGUACAGCUUGCAAAAGAGUUAAAAAAUCUCGACGAAACACCUCCAGAAGGAAUCAAAGUGGGCGUUAAUGAUGAUGAUUUCACAACCAUAUUUGCUGAUAUAGAUGGCCCAGGUUUGUUUGAGUUUGAUAGGAUGACUUUGGAAAGGUUGAAGAUUGAAGAUUUGUAUAUUGAAGAAGAUAUGAUUUCUUUCUAAUGUAUUACAUAGAUUUUUUGUUAUUAUUUAUUUAAGUAAGGAUGUAAAUUAUUCACAA